rnacentral:lncRNA from 1 species
CAAGAAAGAAAAAAUCAAGGUAGCAGGCGAAAAGAAAGAAAAGUCUGCACUACUUGAUACAAAAGGUAUGACACCUAACUCAUCUCUAAAGUAUAGUACAAUUAAAUAUUUUAGGCAUCUCGGACAUAUCGUUUCUCAAUGCCCAAAUAAGAAAAUCAUACUACUGAGAAAUGAUGGUGGAAUUGAUAGUGCUAGUGAUUGCAAGAGUGAAGAUAACAAUAACAUGUCACCAUUGGAGGAUGUUGAGGAAAAUGUUGAAUAUCUAGCUCAGGGGGAAGCUUUGGUUAUC